rnacentral:rRNA from 1 species
UGGGGGAUAUUGUGCAAUGGGGGAAACCCUGACACAGCGACGCCGCGUGAGUGAAGAAGAUUUUCGGAUUGUAAAACUCUGUUGACGGGGAAGAAAAUGACUGUACCCGUUUAGAAAGCCACGGCUAACUACGUGCCAGCAGCCGCGGUAAUACGUAGGUGGCAAGCGUUGUCCGGAAUUACUGGGUGUAAAGGGAGUGUAGGCGGGCUUAUAAGCCAGAUGUGAAAUACCGAUGCUCAACGUCGGGGCUGCAUUUGGAACUGUGAGUCUUGAGUGAAGUAGGGGUAAGCAGAAUUCCUGGUGUAGCGGUAAAAUGCGUAGAUAUCAGGAGGAACACCGGCGGCGAAGGCGGCUUACUGGGCUUUUACUGACGCUGAGGCUCGAGAGCGUGGGGAGCAAACAGGAUUAGAUACCCUGGUAGUCCACGCCGUAAACGAUGAUUACUAGGUGUGGGGGGAUUAACCCCUUCCGCGCCGCAGCUAACGCAAUAAGUAAUCCACCUGGGGAGUACGACCGCAAGGUUGAAACUCAAAGGAAUUGACGGGGACCCGCACAAGCAGUGGAGUAUGUGGUUUAAUUCGAAGCAACGCGAAGAACCUUACCAGGACUUGACAUUGAUGGAAUCCUAAGAGAUUAGGAGUGCCUUCGGGAGCCAGAAAACAGGUGGUGCAUGGUUGUUGUCAGCUCGUGUCGUGAGAUGUUGGGUUAAGUCCCGCAACGAGCGCAACCCUUAUCAUUAGUUGCUACAUUAAGUUGAGCACUCUAAUGAGACUGCCGUUGAUAAAACGGAGGAAGGUGGGGAUGACGUCAAAUCAUCAUGCCCUUUAUGUCCUGGGCGACACACGUACUACAAUGGCGGUAACAACGAGCAGCGAAGCAGUGAUGCCAAGCGAAUCUCUAAAAAACCGUCUCAGUUCAGACUGCAGGCUGCAACUCGCCUGCACGAAGUUGGAAUUGCUAGUAAUCGCGAAUCAGCAUGUCGCGGUGAAUACGUUCCCGGGUCUUGUACACACCGCCCGUCAAACCAUGAGAGUUGGCAACACCCGAAGCCUGUUGCGUAACCUGAAAAGGAGCGCGCA